AGGUUUUUGGCAUAUAGUCAUAGACUCUGACGCGAGAGUAACGGAGUCGCUGAGUGGCAGGUGCUGACAGCUUCUGCAGUCCCCGUAACUGUUCAUUUUGGUAUCAUUUGCAAUUCUGUACCUCUAAAUGCCACAGCUCUCUUGGGGAAGGUUGCGCUGGAUACCAGUACUGCCUCGGAAGACCGUGACGCCAUGGGAAACGCGGAGAGCCAGAGCGUGGAGCACGCCUUCUACGGGGACAAGCACACCGGCCUGGGCCGCAAGCACACUUCCCGCUCCCUUCGCCUCUCCAAUAAAGCCUCUCGCCGGACGCGGCAUGCUUCUUCUGGAAAAAUUAUCCACCGUAACUCGGAAGUGAGCACCCGCUCCAGCAGCACACCCAGCAUCCCCCAGUCCCUGGCGGAGAACGGCCUGGAGCCUUUCGCCCAGGAGGCCAACCUAGAGGACUUUGGAAGCCCCAUCUGGGUGGACCGGGUGGACAUGGUCCUGCGUCCCGUUUCCUACCACACCGACUCCUCCGUCACCCCCAGCGUGGACAGCAGCACCGUCCUCACUGCCGCCUCCGUCCAGAGCAUGCCUGACUCGGAGGAGAGCAGGCUCUAUGGGGACGAGCCGCCGUUCCUGGCUGAGGGUGACGGGAGGUCCCAUCGAUACGCGGCCAACGGGACAAACUUCAUGGAGACGGCCAGCUUCAAGAAGAAGCGCUCCAAAUCGGCCGACAUCUGGCGCGAGGACAGCCUGGAGUUUUCACUUUCUGACCUCAGCCAGGAGCAUUUAACGAGCAACGAGGAAAUCCUGGGCUUGGCCGAGGAGAAGGAUGCUGAGGCCGCCCGGGGAACGGAGGCCAGCGGCAGGCCCCAGCCGCGGGGUGGCUGCCUGAGUGACUUGUAUUCCCCCAAAACCCCGAGCGCUACUGUCAAUGGGGGCCCGCGAAACGCCUUUGGAGGGUACUGCCGGAAUUUAGUGUCCGACAUCCUGGAUAUCGGGAGCCAUAAGUUGGCAUCGGUUACUGCUGAGGAUGCACCUUCCUACAGUAAUUACAACACGCUGCCCUGUAGGAAAUCCCACUGCCUUUCCGAAGGGGCCACCAACCCACAAAUUAGCCAUAGUAACAGCAUGCAAGGCAGAAGGGCGAAAACUACUCAG